UCCAUGAAUAGCAUAGUACAAGGAUACAAACUGGAUCAGUAUUUUGCGUGAGAUUUUGGACGAAGGAUGUUCAAUUAUUCUAAACCACAUUUUAUACAGUUAUAAUAUUCUGUCAGGGAUCCUGUCCAGAAAUUGCAUGUGAUGAUUUAAAAGAUUCUUGCCAGUGGGACUGGUUGCAAUUUUCGACCACAACCGCUUAUUUCAGCUGUUCCAAGUAUCGGAACAUUGCCUAUUCAAGUACUUAGAGGCGGGUGCCCAUGACAACAACAGUUUUUCACGGCGCCGUAAUGGUAUAUUUGCAGGAUGGAAAAAAUACAGUGCUGCGGUGGCCUGAAAAAUGUGCCCAGUUAAAACGAAUCAACAUCGGUCAUCCAGGACCUUAAAGAAGAGAUUAGUGGAAUGAUCCCUGGUAGAUCCGAACAGGAAAUGGGAGUACAGUUUGUAUUACAUUGCGGGAAGAAUAUCCUCGAUCACUUGUGUGUUACAGAAUAAUCAGCAAUUUCAUCCUGAUUUUUUGUUUUUAUUCAAUGCGUUGGACAACGGGAGCGUUCUUCAAUUAGACUGCCCUGACUAUCUUGUAUUACUGUCCGUCAUGCAUGGUGAGAAAUUUCACGGACUGCGUCGUAAGUUGGUGUCACCUUUACGAAGCCAAACAGGUGAAACGAAAUGCCUUUAAGAAAAUAAAGAAUUAAAUUGCUGCUCUGCUUCUUUAGUCAGCAGAUCUAGAGCAUAUGCAUAUUGUGAAAGAGAUCAAGUAUCUGUACCGGAACUGGCUCUCUCCCAUCGCGACGUCAGACCUCCCCAAUGUAUCGUUCUGAGGAGAGGAGUUCCUGAAAAGACGUAGAAUGUUUUGAACCGUCUUGGCCUAAAGCUCUAGGUAUUACAAAAUAGGUAGUCGCUUUUUGGUUAGUUUCUUCGCUGUCCGACGCCAUACAGAUUCUGCCGAACAAUCCUGAUGUAUUGAGCGCUCAUUCGGAAUGGCUGUUCCCUUCCUCGAUCAUGGCUCACGUAAUUAAAUAACAUUGUGAUUCAAAAAACGUUACAUUAAUGUUCUAUUGGUAAUUAUCUCGAGGUUAUGUUGACUCGCAAAAUCCAAUCAGAAGAGGGUCCCUGUUUCGUGGACAUGAAGACGAAAGUUUUAUAUAACAGCGAGUCAUCUAAACAGAUCAAGCUCAUGAAAUAUCUCUAUAUAUAUUGAUAGGCAAACGUUUAGAUAUUGAUUCAUGUUUCGUUUUCUUUAUAUAGGUUAAAAAUCAUACCGACUCCAGAGAGGUAUCUAGUUGCACCAAAUUUUAAAUGAUAACGCUUAACACCGGUUGUGGAAAUUUUGAAAAAUGCUACCUGAAGACAAAGUAUUAAAAUUUAUGUUAACCGAAAUGUAUGA